GAUGAACGCUGGCGGCGUGCCUAAUACAUGCAAGUCGAGCGAACAGAUGAGGAGCUUGCUCCUCUGACGUUAGCGGCGGACGGGUGAGUAACACGUGGAUAACCUACCUAUAAGACUGGGAUAACUUCGGGAAACCGGAGCUAAUACCGGAUAAUAUAUUGAACCGCAUGGUUCAAUAGUGAAAGACGGUUUUGCUGUCACUUAUAGAUGGAUCCGCGCCGCAUUAGCUAGUUGGUAAGGUAACGGCUUACCAAGGCAACGAUGCGUAGCCAACCUGAGAGGGUGAUCGGCCACACUGGAACUGAGACACGGUCCAGACUCCUACGGGAGGCAGCAGUAGGGAAUCUUCCGCAAUGGGCGAAAGCCUGACGGAGCAACGCCACGUGAGUGAUGAAGGUCUUCGGAUCGUAAAACUCUGUUAUUAGGGAAGAACAAAUGUGUAAGUAACUAUGCACGUCUUGACGGUACCUAAUCAGAAAGCCACGGCUAACUACGUG
rnacentral:rRNA from 1 species